CAGCACCUCCUGCUCUGCUCACUUGGCCGCCACGUGGCAGCCGGGUGAGGGCCUCGGGGUGGUGU
rnacentral:miRNA from 17 species